ACAGAAUGGCAUGUGAGUGGUACUUCAAGGCUAGGCAGCAGCUUACUGUGCAAACAAGGUCAUUUGAUCAGCAAUGAGGUUCACUGUAAGUGUCUAAUCUCCAAAUCUUCCUUCCAGGUCAUUUGAUCAGCAAUGAGGUUCACUGUAAGUGUCUAAUCUCCAAAUCAAUUGACCACAUGGUAGAUUUUUGUCAGAAUCAGGAAUUUUCGGUGGUGAAGGAGAAAGGCACGAGGAGCCCACAGAGUUAUCAGAAUGGCGCUUAGAGAUAAAAUGCUCGACUGAGAAACCUGAUGUGGAAUAAACGCAAGCCCUAUUGGAAAGAUGGUUCAUGAUUAACAGAUUUGAUGGCCGUGAGCCAGGACUAGUGGAUCCUGCUAUAUAACCCUAGGAGUCAGAAGGAUUCGGGGAAAGGAUGAUGCUUUGACAUCAAGACCAGCUGUUGCUACAGAUUGAGUUCCCAGAAAGGAGCAAGGAUCACCCUGCCGUCUCCUCUUUCUCUGAACCCACAUGUCUCAUGAGGUCUUCUCAACUCUUGAAGUCAGCUGUCACAGACUGUAUAUAUCUCACAGAUUUACAUCUUCAGGACAGACACACAUCAUAACUGUGUAUCAGUUAUAACUACCUAGCUUUCCCACAAGCACUUGAAAGUGUAUAUGUUGGAAACAGAAGUUAAAAUCACCUCUCAAAUACAUUUCUCAUCUAUUCUGCUGAUCGAAAUGUCACCUUUAGAAGGGAGUCAGACUUCAGGAUUAAUACGCUUGCGAAAAUAAGUAGAAGAAACCCAUUUCUAGUAGCAGUCUACAAAUCUACGCCUCAUUCGCUGCUGAUUUUCAUAGGAAAAGAAGUUUUGACAAAUAUAUUCAAAAGAAACAAAAUGUACUAAAUAAGCCAAAAGAAUCAACGUGCUUAAUAAAGCCGUAAAGCAUCAUAUAAAUAACAGGUAUUAUAAUACUGGCACUCUGACUGAGAAAGCAAACCACAAAACGGGCAUUUGAAGAAAAAAUAUGCACAAUGAGAGAAGAAAGACUUCCUGGGAGGAAGAGGGAGGAAAUGGAGACACAGAACAUCAAGAGCUAUGCCCUUCAUCAUCACCGGAAAAACAACAUUUCCAUGAAAAAAGAGUAAGUAGUUUAACAUCGCAACAUGACAGUAUUCCAAAAGAAAGAAAGGCUAUGAAAAACAGAUCUGUGAAUAAUAAAGGAAGAGAACCGGGCAAAGGAGCAGAGAGAGGAUAAAGAAGGAAAAACAGAGUCCGAGGAUGCCUCUUCUAACAAUAUGAUUUGAAUUU